GGACACUGCGGGGUGUGCGGCGGCCCAAGCGGUUUCAAACGGCUUAGAGCAGGCCGCUUGGUUCUGACCCGGCUGAGGAAAACCUGGAAGCACAAUGGGAGAUGACAGUGAGUGGUUGAAACUGCCAGUUGAUCAGAAAUGUGAACACAAGGUAAGAUUCUUCUGGAAUUCGAUUUUCAGUGUCGUUGGCUUGUUUUGUCAGCAGUUAUACUAUCAUCUUACUUAGAAGUGUGUGAAAACAUUGGCAGUUUCAAAAAUACUGAUGCCUUGUUAGAUAUGUUAUUUUUUCUCAUUGAAAAUAGGUUUCUCUAGCUCAACUAAAAAUUUUUUUGUCUCUGGAAAGAAUUCAAAGAAAAGAUAUUAGUGAAGUGAAAAGUAAGUGGUAUCUAUAAAAAGUAACUGGCUAGUUUUUUCAUCUCCUUCUAUAUACAGUACUUCUGGUACCUAAGUACUUACUAAUAUUUUAUUAUAUAGAGACUCUUCUUUGGAGAUGUGUUCUGAAUUUGGCCUUAGAAAUCCAGCAUUUUUUAGGUUCUCUGAUCUAUAUGAUCUGCAUUCCAAUAUUUACCCUCAGAAUCUACCCAUCUUUAUUUUCUAGUUUAUGCUAGUAAGAUACAAUUUAUCACAUCAUGUCAUUAUUUGGCGGGCAUCCUUUCAGAUUAUCUUAUUUUUUUCCCCAACUAUACCUCUAG
rnacentral:sRNA from 1 species